GGAGGGCUCGCAUAGUGGCCUAGUGCGGCGGUCUUGAAAACCGCUAUGGGGUUACACCCAUCGUGGGUUCGAAUCCCACGCCCUCCGCCG
rnacentral:tRNA from 1 species